UACGAAGGGAGCUAGCGUUGUUCGGAAUCACUGGGCGUAAAGCGCACGUAGGCGGAUGUGUCAGUCAGGGGUGAAAUCCCGGAGCUCAACUUCGGAACUGCCCUUGAUACAGCACGUCUUGAGUCCGGAAGAGGUGGGUGGAAUUCCUAGUGUAGAGGUGAAAUUCGUAGAUAUUAGGAAGAACACCGGUGGCGUAGGCGGCCCACUGGUCCGGUACUGACGCUGAGGUGCGAAAGCGUGGGGAGCAAACAGG
rnacentral:rRNA from 1 species